rnacentral:misc_RNA from 1 species
AUUUGACAACAUUUGCCAUCUUUGUUUUCGUCACUUGCGGAUUCAAUUUAUCGUUUGGAAAUAAAGACACUGGCGAGGAAAACUACUACGAAAGUAAGUAAGCUAAAUCUUCCACACAGUUGCAAGUCCCAUCCGGCAUCGUAGAGAAUUUUCUACACUAGAGGACGCAGAUCGAGCGUGAGGUCAAAUGAACAUCUUUCUUAAUCGACAAAUGUUUUGUUUUUCUGAUGUAUGUGCUCUAUCAGUAGACUAUCAGUGAUACUUGCCAAUUAGUAAAGUAUCUCUUAAAAUGUUGUCUUACCAUAGACUGACAAAUCGAAUUAUUGUGCAUUUAGACACAACGCAACCCAGUCGCGCUGGAGGUCCAUUACAAAUCGAUCGAAUGUCAACGAAUAUUCUUAGUUGUGUUUAUUUCAUAUCGUGCGGUCAUGACCAACAGCGGAAAACAAUACUGACAGUUAAAGUAAGCCGGAAAGCUACUUGAACUUUGUCUUGGAUGAGAUGGAAAUAGGAUCUCUAUUGAUAUCUAGCACCAAGAAAGUCUAAGAAGUAAUAACAACGUUUUUACGCAUUAGGGGCCAUGCCGAUGGAAUGAUUAGGAACAUUUUCCGCCAAGAGGAAAUAUCUUAUAUAGCUAACCGGUCUGCCUCCCGCCAGAGUUUCAAAAAAUUCCACCCGCCAUUGAAACAGCCAAGAAGCUCUACAAGAACUUCUUCAGUGGUGGAACAAGAAUAAUCCAUAAACGCC